UCACUGUAACCUGCAAGAUACGAAUCCGAGAGACUCGCUGUUAGAUUUCUGUGCAGCAGCAGCUGUCCUGUCUUCUCAGUAACACAAGAGCCAGAUAACAAAAGUAGAGCUGAACGUUUGAGUACCGCAGUCACCUCUGUUACCUUGCUGAUUUCUGAGGGGCCCUAUGAUGGAGCAGGUGGUGACCACACUUCAUCUGUCCAUUUUUGGGCUCGGUGCUCACCUGCACUUGGCAACCACAUACUCGAGGAAGAAGGUAAGUGUGAAGAGUGACCACGGGAAGAAGUCAAAGAAGGUUCAGAAAUGUCCUCUCAUAUACUUAAAGCGUGAAGAAAUUCAGUUAUUUUACCAAACAGAAAGGACUUGGGCUUCCCUUGCAAAAAUACUGCUUUCGAGCCCCCAAGCAACUGUGAGGAAUCUUAGGGUUCCAAAUAAUAGGGUAACGAAAAAAAUAUUAAAAAAAAAAAAAGAAUAGGCUAAAGAAACCCAGCCUCGGUGAAAAGAAAGUACAGUACAAAUCUUUGCUUGAGGGUGGAGUGGGACAUUAGGCUGGUGAAACUGAAACAGCUAACUUGAUGUAUUUGUGUGUUGUUCUGAAAGAUCUGAUUCUCAUACCUUGCAAAAGGUAAGGUAGGUCAAACAGUCAAACAAAAAGAAAGCACCUUGGGAAGCAGCCCCCUGGCUACAGUUCUAUGCUAGCUACCCUCUUCUUUCUCCGGUGGCCAGAGCUAAGAUUGAAGGGCAGAAGCAGCUUAUAAAUC